UACAGUGGGUGCAAGCGUUAAUCGGAAUUACUGGGCGUAAAGCGCACGUAGGCGGUUAGUUAAGUUGGAUGUGAAAGCCCCGGGCUCAACCUGGGAAUUGCAUUUGAAACUGGCCAACUAGAGUACGUGAGAGGGGGGUAGAAUUCCAAGUGUAGCGGUGAAAUGCGUAGAGAUUUGGAGGAAUACCAGUGGCGAAGGCGGCCCCCUGGCACGAUACUGACGCUCAGGUGCGAAAGCGUGGGGAGCAAACAGG
rnacentral:rRNA from 1 species